UAGGGAAUCUUCCGCAAUGUGCGAAAGCCUGACGGAGCAACGCCGCGUGAGUGAUGAAGGUCUUCGGAUCGUAAAACUCUGUUAUUAGGGAAGAACAAAUGGGUAAGUAACUAUGCACGUCUUGACGGUACCUAAGCAGAAAGCCACGGCUAACUACGUGCCAGCAGCUGCGGUAAUACGAAGGUGGCAAGCGUUAUCCGGAAUUAUUGGGCGUAAAGCGGGCGUAGGCGGUUUUUUAAGUCUGAUGUGAAAGCCCACGGCUCAACCCUGGAAGUUCAUUGGAAACUGGAAAACUUGAGUGCAGAAGAGGAAAGUGGAAUUCCAUGUGUAGCGGUGAAAUGCGCAGAGAUAUGGAGGAACACCAGUGGCGAAGGCGGCUUUCUGGUCUGUAACUGACGCUGAUGUGCGAAAGCGUGGGGAUCAAACAGG
rnacentral:rRNA from 1 species